rnacentral:tRNA from 1 species
GCUGUGAUGGGCAGUGGUUAAGGCGUUGGACUUGAAAUCCAAUGGGGUUUCCCCAGCGCAGGUUCGAACCCUGCUUUCGGAA